rnacentral:rRNA from 1 species
GAUCAUGGCUCAGGAUGAACGCUAGCUACAGGCUUAACACAUGCAAGUCGAGGGGCAGCAUGAACUUAGCUUGCUAAGUUUGAUGGCGACCGGCGCACGGGUGAGUAACACGUAUCCAACCUGCCGACGACUCGGGGAUAGCCUUUCGAAAGAAAGAUUAAUACCCGAUGGCAUAAUUCUUCCGCAUGGUAGAACUAUUAAAGAAUUUCGGUCAUCGAUGGGGAUGCGUUCCAUUAGG